GCUGAUUGUUUACGUGUCGGAGAAGAGAGUACUUUUUGAUAAAAGACACAAAUAUUACAAAGAUAACGACCUGAAGGACAACUUGUAGAGAGUCAUAGCGUUGGAUUUCUCAUAUGACGAUGGUUUGUGUGCUUUAACAGUUUGCUAAACGUCUUUGUUUUAACUUUCAUCUGUGCUAAGUAACUUUAGCUCGUAAGCUAACCUGUUCAGAUACAACAUACCAUAUGUAUUUUCACUGUCUCAAACUCAAUCGUGUUGCUGUCACAGCACCAUUAGGUCUUGGUUGUUACCUUACGUUUAUGGAUUAUAGUUUAAUGUGCUUAUCUGGUACUGGCCCCGACUCAGUCCAUGCUAUCAUGACAGACAGACAUCUCAACACUAGUGUCUAAUUAGAACUGAAAAACAGUCAGUCUGCUGUUGUGUCAGUCUUCUCACUUCCACCCGGGAUGCGUCUUUUUCCCCCCGGAAAGUCGAAAAAUCGCAUUGAGCUUGAUGUGUACAGUCAGGCACGUCAAAAUUUGCGAUUUCAUGAUUUCGCGUCAUAUAUUUGCAUCGUUCCAGAUGUGUAAGGACCUUAAUACUUUCACUUUACCUCAAUUACUCUUUUGCGAUUUCUCCUCCAUUCAUGACUUAAGAGCAUGCCGAGUCCCCUAUGUUCUCACAGGCUGAUAUUUUCUGAGGCUGACAUGUGCAAAAACACUUUUUCUUGAACCUUCAUGUCUUGGUUUUAAGACUGCUUGAAUGGCAGUCUAGUUAUAGAUUUUUUAAACAAGAUUCUUAAUACGACAGCAAGUACACUGAAUAAACUGUAAUUUCAGCACCAGCCCUGAACUUUUGCUCAGCUUUCAUUGUACAUAUCUAUACAAAUAACUGGAUCGAGCGGCAAAGUAUCUAAGUUCAAAGGUUCAGUAUUUUCCUUUAACUUUGAGUACAGAGUAAUCAAAAGGAGGAGAUUUAAUCACCAGUUCUCCAAAGAGUUGAGUUCGAGCAGUUUAGUUCCUCUUUUUGACUUGUAGCAGUAUUAAUUUACAAUGAAUUAAAGCAGAAGAAAUCACAGGCUGAACAGGAAUUAUUUACAUUAUCUCAAAUGUUUAAAAAAAAAUUAAAUUGCAGCUUAAAUUCAAUCCCCCCCUCCCGUGAUAAUUCAAAAAACUUAAUACUUUCCUCAAACUUUUCUUUAGAUUGCAGACACUGGGGGUAAUUUCUCAUCCUGCUGGUAAUAUGGAGCCAGAGGAAUCAUAUUAUAUCUGAGGGCAGUGAGGCAAACCAUCAUUUGAAUUCUCUUUAAUAAGAAGCAGACAUGGCUUAAUUGCUGCUGUAGUUCAAACAGAAAAAAAAAAAGAGGACCCAAUUUUUCUCUUGCUGGGGGUUUUGUUUGUUGCUGACAAAGGCCGCAUUAGCUGUGAAACAGCAGUUUCCGACAACAGCAAACAAACAGGGGGGUGUUGCCACAGAGCAAAAACAAGCCAAAUUUUUGUAUUGUGCUUUGGGUUACGCUUCAAAGGUACUAUCUCUAACAAGCUUGAACGCUUUGAACCUCUGUGAGGCGAGUUUUUUUCAUUAAACACAUAAAAAAUCAGAGGGAACAUAAGUUGACAUUUCUGUUUGUACCCAUGCUAGUAGCAUACCGCAAGAGUAAAAUAUAUUGGUCUAUUGCUUGGUAACAGACUGAAAUAUCUCAUGACCAAUUGAUGCAAUGAGACUCUCUACACUUAUUAUGGGGUGUCAAGCACUUUCCCCUAAAAGUGCUUGACGCGUGAAACUGAAUAAACCUUUACCGUACUAAUUACCCCCUUUUUUCCUCUCCAUAGCACCCAUAGUAUCUGCAGCACAUUCAUUAGCAUCACAUCAGUGCUUUAGCAUAAAAUGCCGGAAUAUGCCUUUAAGCGUUAAAUGAACUAUCAUUAGAUUCAGUACCUUCACCCAUGUUCCUUUGGGCGUUAUUGUGUGAAUGAGCUCUUCAUAAGUACAGAUGUUCAAACCUGCGUGGUUACUUUGGAAUGAGCUGUAAAACUGUUUUGGUCUCUUAGAUUUACAGUAAUAUACCGUAUAAAUCAUCACGCUCACAUUUUAAAAAAAAAUUGAUUUUGACAAUAAAGUCUUUUUUGUACAAAAUAAAGGAAUUGUAAGAUUAAUAUUUAUAUGUAUUUAUAUAUUUAUAUAUAUAUUUGACUUUGAAAUUAGUUAAAACUGCUUUGGUCUCUUUGAUUUACAGUAACAUCCCGUAAAUCAUCAUGGUCACAUUUAGGGAAAAAAAAAAAACCUUAAGAUUUUGACAAUUAUGUCCUUUUAGUACAAGAUUAAGGAUUUAUAAGAUUUAAAUGAUUAAUAUAUAUGUAUGUAUUUUACUUUGAAAUGAGCUGUAAAACAGCUUGGGUCUCUUAGAUUUACAGUAAUAUCUUGUAUAUUACAUAACAGUUACUUUUAGAAACACAUUCAAAUUUUGACAAUAAAGUCCUUUUAGUACAAUAUUUAAGAUUUAUAAGAUUUACAAGAUAUAUAUUUAUAUAUAAAAAAUUUGCUUUGAAAUGAGCUGUAACACUGCUUCGGUCUCUUAGAUAUACAGUAAAAUCCCGUAAAUUACUUCACUGUCACAUUUAGAAAAAACAUUAAGAUUUUGACAAUAAAGUCAUUUUAGUACAAGAUUUAAGAUUAAUAAGAUUUAUUAAUAUAAAAUUUACUUUGAAAUGAGCUGUAAAACUGCUUUGGUCUCUUAGAUUUACAGUAAUAUACCGUAUAAAUCAUCACAGACUCACAUUUAGAAAAAACAAAGAUUUUGUCAAUAAAGCCUUUUAAGUACAAGUUUUAAGAUUUUUAAGAUUUAUGAGAUCAAUAUACAUAUAUUUUACUUUGAAAUGAGCUGUAAAACUGCUUUGGUCUCUUAGAUUUACAGUAAUAUCUCGUUUAUUACAGCACGGUCACAAUUAGAAAAAACAAAGAUUUUGUCAAUAAAGCCCUUUAAGUACAAGUUUUAAGAUUUUUAAGAUUUAUGAGAUCAAUAUACAUAUAUUUUACUUUGAAAUGAGCUGUAAAACUGCUUUGGUCUCUUAGAUUUACAGUAAUAUCCUCUAACUUACAUCAUGAUCACAUUUAGAAAAACACUAAGAUUUUGACAAUUAAGUCCUUUUAGUACGAGAUUUAAGAUUACCAAGAUUUAUAUGCGUAUAUGAUUCCCUUCGCUAAUGUCAGUGGUCCAGAUUCUUUCCUAGGAGUUUAAACUUUGCUCAUGAGUAACUCUGAGGAUGAACUGAAUGUGCAUACUUCAAACUCUGGCAAACUGUGACACUCUGGAGACACAUUCACUGUUAAGUCUGUGAGUGCUGAGGGCUGUCAAAACCCACAAUUCAUCAGGUCUUCCCGAGGUCUCAUGUUGACUUUCUGCUGACUUCCAGACAGUCCACUUGGGGUUCAGGCUUCAGCAGACCAUUUGAUUUAAUUACCCCAGAAGUCGGUGAAAUACGAGCCGAGUACUGUAAAGGAGCCCCUACAUUUUUAAAGUUAUUUUUUCUCUGAUAUUUUCAACCUUAUUAGAAAGGACAGCUGAAAAGACAUGAAAUAUGGGGAGGAGAGAUUGGGGAAGACAUACAGCUAUGGUUUUUGGCCAGGGGAUUGUGGCUGAGCCAAUCACUGGGCCAUCCAAUGACAUCAAUGGUUUCCUGAGACAACCAACUACUGUAUGCCAUACUUUCUUCUUCUUUCUUUUCCAACUGGUACAAAAGUCGCAGUUACAUUAAAAAAAUUGGCGUCCUUUCCUGUUAGCAUCCUUAACAAUAACGGACUAUAACAACAGCACUUAAAGUCAUGUCAGUCCUGUAAUCCAAUCAAAUCCAUAUGUUGAGGUUUGUGGUUGCUUCAUGUCUGUUUUCUUCGAUUUGGUUGAUGCUUUUAACAUUCCUCUCUUGUUUCUACAUGUUUUUCCCUUUUUGUCUACCUUUCUUGGCUGCCACUCAUCAGCCACUCACCACCAAUCUUUAUUUCUGUGCACAAAACAUGUGCAUCAAUAUUCAUUGUCUGUAUCUUUCUUCUUUAUUCCUCUGCUCUCCAUUCUCUCUCCUCUCUCCAUCAUUCUCCUUCGCAUGUCUCUGCCUUAAGUUCAAAGUAAGACUUGUUUACUUCCUCCUCUCCUUCAAACCAUGCUUGCUCACUCUGCUAGCUCGCCUCCCAUCCUUUCAAAUUUCCAUCUCUCCCUUCCAUGACCCUUUGCACCUUUUUUGUCUUGACAGCACUCUGCGGCUCACCCUCACGCCCCUUCCUCAUCUCCUCUCUCCCCGUUCUCUCCAGACUUCUGUAAUUUCCUCUCCUUUUCUCCCCCCUCGCCCGCCUUGUCAUUUUCGCUCCUUCAACACUUCUUUCUGUUCCCCCUUUUUUUUUCUCCCCCCUCCUCCCCUCGUCUCGCCCUCAUUCGCCCCUGUCUUCAUUUAGAGACUUGGUGUGGCUCUGAUUUCUUUAAAUAGCUCUCAUUGCCUCCAGGAGGUUGAGGCAGCAGUCUGGUUCUGCUAAUAAAUGACAGCGAACAAAUGUGAACGCUGAAUCAACUGAAGGCGAGCACGUACGCGCACUUGCGUACAGCGAGUGCGUGUGCGUACACACUCAGCACAUCAGAUCACACAACAGUGAGGCACUUCUUUUGCAUAAAAGUGACAUGAUGUGACAUGCGGCUUAAAAGACAUUCAUGGAAAGACAGCUUAAAGGUGUGCGUAUGUGUGCGAGUGAGUGUCUUUCCAUGUGCCUGCUAAAAACAGGCCCGGCUUGUUCCAUCUUAUAUCUCUCCCAUUCUUCUCCCUUUUUGUUCACCCAGUGUGGAAAUAAAUGACAAUAAUGGAUUGCACAGUCCUAGUAAUUUUGCACAUUAUUUCUGAGCCAUUGCUUUGCAUAAUGAAUGCCUGCUAAUGCACUUUUUUGUUAAUUCACCACAAAGGGUCCAAAAAGUCUGCUGUUAUGAAUCACUGCAGAGCAAUGCACGUAUUUAUUAGCAUACCACAUGCACAUUGUGUCAUUUGUAGACUUGAAAUGUAACCUGAAAGUGAAGGGGCUGAUAAGAAAGCAAGCCCCGUGUCUUUAUUUAUUGUUCCUCUGCAGCUCUGCUUUGCGCAGAUUUGUGUUAUCUCCUUAGUGGCUCUGAUAAAGCGUCUGAAUAUCUGAUUCAAUUUAUCUUAGAGGAUCAGUCUGGCUGGAUUCCUAGAUUUUGUCCUCAUUAUUUAUCUUUAUAAGUGGUUUACAGAGGGAAGCAGAUAGGAAAAGUACCACAGGACCGUAUAGCAAUGUAUUACAAACAGAGAACAGCUCCCAUAAGUCCAGUGGUAAUGUAGACUGAGGUAACCCCGAAAAUGCUGACGAUCAGUGUGGUUAAAAAAGCGAGUCUGGGGUCCAUGGUUUCCCAAAAAGAGUGCCAAACUUUGAUUGAAAGUCAUAUUGAUAAAGGCCUGACCGAUAUGGAUUUUUUGGGGCCGAUGCCGAUACCAAUUAUUAGGGGGAAAAAAUUCGGAUUACCGAUUAAUCAGCGGAUCUUUUCAAUUUUUUUUGAAGUUAUUAAAAAAAAAAAAAAUUAUAUAUAUAUAUAUACUGUAGAUAUCUACAGUUUACUUUAUACUGUAGAUAUACUGUAGGCUACUGCUCUUCACGCCGACAAGAAGACCGACUGAUCAAACUCGGACCAGAAAAGCGUCAACUACCCGAUGCCUCUGAUGCGGUGCCUCCGCGUCUUAACUCACGUUACUCAUUUCCGGUCUGGUCUCAUCUGGAGACAUUCAGCUGCCUCAGUAAGAGAAGUAGCUCAAUCAUGUAAUGUGUACUGUUGUUUAUUCUACCGUUACUAGCGCGGCUAACAGUGUAGCAAGGCUAAUAGCAGGUGGCUAACUCUAACGUUAGCUUGCAUAUUACAUGGUGCUUCACCGUUAACUCGGCGUGACCAAGACCAGCACAGCGGGGAACAUCGUGAAGUGAGUUGAACUGAAACUUGUUGACUUAUUGUGUAUUUCACAAGCUAGUUUAUUUACCGUUGAGGUGGACCACUCUCCUCCGUGCGUCCCUGAGCUGCCUGCUUCAGAUCCGUCACUCUGCUGUGCUGUGAGGUAGUUAGUGGAUGAAGAUUGUCAUGAGGUCGCUGCGCCAUCUACAGGAUAAGUCGGGCAACUGUUCAAAUGGCGGAACAUUUUCGAAGUGCAACCAAAUCUUAUUUUCCACAUUUUAUUUCUGAAAAUAUCGGUGAAAAUCAUCGAGUUUUAGCUGAUUACUGAUUAGUCUCAAUUGGGCUAAAAUUGGCUGAUUUAUUCAGCUCACCGAUAAAUCGGUGGGGCCCUAAUUAAAAGUCACAUUUAUGUCGUUUAAGAUGAUCCGAAUCCAAACAAGCCAAUCAGCAACAUCAAUGAUGGUUUUUAGGUCCUAUCUUUUAAUAACUGGAUCUGGUUAUCCUUGCUAGAAAUGUCUGAGUUUCUUUUUUGGAUAAGUUUUAGAAAACAUUAAUGCUACCUUUUUCCUGUCUUUCACCAAAGAGUCCUUUGAAAAUGAGUGCUUUAAAGUGCUUUACCAAACCUUUAAAGGUCAUGCCUCAGUGUGAUAUGUUCCUCCUCAGCAUCUGAACACUGCAGUAUAAACUACAACAAAAAGAAGACCUUGAUGUAACUAUCCUUUAAAUCUCUUUGGAUGCUGGUAUUGAUCACAUUCACUCUCGUCACAGCUGCUGCUUGCUACAGCACAAUAUGGCACCACUCACUGGAAGGCUUCAAUAUUCGUGUUAUUAUAUGUAUGAAAUGAAUCAAAAGUGUAAUUUUAAAUGAAGUCUUUCUCUGACAGAGCAUAAGAUUACCUUGAAUGAGUCUAAUUUGAAUCACAUUACGUUUCCUGGUAACUGCUGUAUGAGUAGUAGUGGUGGGCAAAACCAUUCAUUUCAGUGAACCGGACCAUUCCGGUUCGUUCAGUAAAAAGAUUCGUUAAUUUCAGUCAUUUCGGUCAAUUGGUCGUUAGUCAGUCCGUUCGCUCAUGUUCACGUUCGUUCAGCGUCUGAACGAAUGUGAGCGAACGGACUGACUCGACACGGCUGACCGGGUUUAUGCAGGGGGAGAUCUGUUCAGACUCUGAACGAACGAGAGCCUCUUAGCUCCCUUUGUGACAAUAACAUCAAGUAUUUCCAACAGAUACGUCUUUGCUGACAUUCAAAACACAGAGAGAUCUAAGAAUAUGUAUUCAACAGCUGUGCGACUUGGGACAAUCUCAUGCGCAAGUUUCCAGGUAACGGGGUCAAUUUUUACACCGAAAAACCGGCAUGUUGACCCAGCUAAACCAAGCUAUAUAGCUAGGCUAGCACAUUACAGCACAUUACAGUCAGCUCAGUACUGCUGCUGCUUCUCUAAGCCCCACCCACCCACAGAGCGAGGCACGAUGAUAGGAUAAGACAGGCAAGCACGGAGAUAGUCCCACCCUAAGGAACGGUGAACUGACUCUUCAGCCAAUCAAAAGAACUGAACGGACUGAACGGAUCAUUUAGGGGGGGUGACCUCGUUCAUUUCGUUCACCAAAAAGAACUAGUUCUUUUGAUCUGUUCGUUCAUGACCGACACAUCACUAAUGAGUAGUUCAUUCUGUCUUUGCUCUUAAUUGGUAUUUGGGGAACCUGUCUGCAUGAUUUCCUCACCAUUACACGUUUCUCUCCGGGUACAGUCAGUUAGUGCUGGACCUCUUCUGCCCCAGGCUUUUGUGUAUCUCUUUUAAGACAUCCCCGGCUGCCAUUGUGUUUUCGUUUGGGAGUCUUAGUCAGUGUUCUUUGAGAGCUUCGUUUUAAAACAGCGGCUCAGUGAGGUGGUUAAUUUUCAUUUGUGCAUCUUUCAUAUUUUAUUUUCCCAUAUCCUGUCCAAUCAUUUGUGGUUUUUGUAUCACUGCACCAACUCUUUCAUCCCACUGGUUAAUUUCCAUAGAGUUAAGGUAAGAACUUCUCUCAUUUCGAAGCUACACAGAAACUUUUUUAAAUUUUCCUCUGUAUUGAUAGUCAUGGAAACAAUUACCUUUGUUGAUUGCAAACAGCACCACUAGCUCAAUGCCACUGUACCCGUAUGAUUCUCAUUAGAGCCUGAGUCCACUGAUGGCAACUUUUAGGGCCUGUGUGCACUGAAGGCAAUGCUAGUGCCUGUUUGCACUGGGGGAAACUUUUAGGGCCUGUGUGCACUUGGGGCAACUUUUAGGGCCUGUGUCUACUGAUGGCAACUUUAAGGGCCUGUGUCCUCUGAGGGCAACUUUUUUUAGGGCCUAUGUGCACUGAUAGAAACUUUUAGGACCUGUGUGCAUUGAGGGCAACUUUUAGGGCCUGUGUCCUCUGAUGGCAACUUUUAGGGCCUGUGUGCACUAAGGGCAUCUUUUUGGGCCUGUGUCCACUGAUGGCAACAUUUAGGGCCUAUGUCUUCUGAUGGCAACUAUAAGGGCCUGUGUACACCGAGGGCAACUUUUAGGGUCUGUGUGCACUGACGGAAAUUUUUUGGGCCUGUGUACACUGACAGCAACUUUAAGGGCCCAUGUCCACAGAUGGCAACAUUAAGGGCCUGUGUGAACUAAGGGCAACUUUUAGGGCCUGCGUACACUGAGGGCAGUUUUCAGGGCCUGUGUCCAAGUACAGCAAUUUUGAAGGCCUGUGUCCACUCAGGGCAAUUUUGGCACCAGUUGUGCCUAUUUUUAUACAUUUUUUAAAACACCAUCAUGUUCCCAGCACUCAGUGUACUAAGCCCAUACUAUAUGCUUGGCAUUAGCUGUUUUUCAUUACCAUAAGCACAGAUUGUUUGGCAGGCAAGUACAUAAACUUUUAAACACCUCUGGGAACUAGUGGUACAAAUUUAAAUGUCAAAUUAUGUCCAAGGAUGCAUGCCCUUGCAAUGUUUGGAAGAUGGUCAGGCUGAAAUCGCAGUUCAAGGUCUUGGGAAACAACCUGAGAAAGUUCAAGCACGGCAGAAAAUUGAAUAUGACUAACUGUGGGCCACAAAUCACUUGAAGGCUUCAUAAAAUAAAAUAAAUACACUGCAAAUCAAGCAGUGUUCAUUUAGUCACUACACUCGCCGCUGCAUGCACAAAAAAUCAUAUUGAUCCCUCGACUUAGUGGCAGGACACUCCAUUUGCUUGUCUGCCAACAACUGCAAUUUUUCUGUUUGAAAUUGCACGCUGACAGUUCCAAUAAUGACCCCAGAUCACAGACACAGAGAAGAACCGAAAAGAGGAGGCGCUCGGAGUGACCAGCCAAGCAUGGGCCCCUGACAUCAUUCACCAUAAACAUCGCCUUCAGCCAGGACCCUGAUAAGUCAUGGCGUCUGCUCCCCAUCUGAAGGGGUAAAUAUGGAUUUGAUAGAAAAUAUGAGGGGAUGGUGACAAGGAUGUGCUCUUGCAUGCAACUACUAUACCUGUCUGUCACUUCUGGAGUCUUCUCUGUUGUGUGUGACUUCUAAGUUUCACUUAUGGGAUCAUACCGGCUCAUAAAUCAGGCUGUUAUCGUCUCUAUCUUUAUAAAGAAUGCUCCACAUUCUCUGAGAAACUUUAUCCCUGAAAUUGGUCUCGGUUAUUAUUCCAAGCAGCACAAGGACGUCUCUGCAAGUCGCAUUGCAAAACCGGUAAUUAUGUGCACUUUGAAAGCUGAGAGAGAAUGAGAGAGUUCUGCUUUUGUUAUUCAGAUUUCAAGCAAUUGUAAUAAAUACUGUAGCUGAAACGGAAUAAAAAAAUAAUAAUUCCAUCAGUGGUGUACAAAUUGUUUUGUCACCAUUCUGGUUAGAAGUGAUCUGCUGCUAAUGCAUUUCUAAUUAAGGAGCAGUCUAUUUUCAGAGUUUUUAUUCCGUGUCAACUUGGCAGCAGCUUUAAUCAAAUCCCCGGCAGCUGUUUGACCUAAUGUCGUGGCCCUCUGCUUGACAACCUCUGACAGAUGCUAAUUUGUUAUUUUUCCUGCAAAAGGCAUCACCUGGAGGCAUGAUUGACACCCCAGCUUACGAACUCGUCUGUCAAGUGAGGCUGCGCUUGACUGAAGUUCGUGAUCCCUCUGGUGGGACCCUGGGAAAUAAUGGAUACGCAAUGUAUAUAUGGGAUAUAUAGAGUGUCAAAUAUUGAUUUCAUCUUUAUUAUUUAUGCUGUCCAACAGAAAUCAAUUCAAUAACAUGGGAUCAUAUAUAGUUAUUAACUCACAGUGCACGGCAUCAGUGUCACCGCCUGAAGCAGAGGAAAGGAAUCUUAACACAGUAACUCAAUAUCAAUUGAGGCAAUUUGAGCAAAUGUAAAGCAAAAAAAAAAGAGACCCUAUAGGAAUGCAAGGAAUUAUCAUCCCAAAUUCAGGUCCUUAACAUGCCUCCAAACUCAACGAAAUUCACACAUGCAUCAGGUCUGGUGAGAUAUCCUCAAUAUUUCACCUACAUGCAUGAUAAUCUCUAGGCAUAGACCUAUAAAAAAAACCCUCAUACCACCAUGAUGAAAUCCUAUGUGCAUCUCUGUGAUAUGUCUUUUUAUAUGUUAAACACAUGCCACAAGAAGAGCCUUCAGAUCUCAUAAAGUGUUAUUGCUCACACUGAGUAUAUGGUAGAUUGUCAGACUGUGCUUUCCGCCAAUGAAACAGGAAGUUAUUUAAAGUUCUUCAUACAAAGUCCACACAGUACAAAGUAAGAAAUGAAAACAGCAUAUUCUUCACCUAUAGAGCUACUUCAACACUCAAUCUAAAUCAUGGUCACAGUGAUUCAAACUGUGUGUGGAAAAAUGUUCACCUCGAAGAGCUUCAUGCCAUGGAGAGGAUAUUUUAAGAAUGAAUCAAGUCCACCCAGUAGAGUACAUGAACAUGUGACUGUAUUCCCAACAAUCAGCCUGCAUGUCACUCAUAGUAACUAGGGAUGUCUGCUCAUGUCAACCACGGUACAUACAGUUUGCCGUCUAUUUAUAGUCUUAUUGCAUUUCAGUCAGUGACACUGAUGGUCCUGUAAAUGAUACAUGUACCAAUGCACUGAUAGCCUGGAAGCAAAUCAGUGUUUAUUCUGAUAACUCAACAUAUAUGUAUAUUUUUUUUUGAAAAUUAAUUAACUAUAGCAAAUUCAGAGUGUACUGUGUAACUACUGAAUACCAUCCUUAAGAGGAUGGUACAUAUAUAAUCAUGAUUUAAGUCUUUAAAAGUCAAGCUAUAAAAAGUCCUAUAGGAUUAAAAAAAAAAAAAAAAAAGACUUUUUAUUUGUAAAAUAUUGUCUUGGCUUUGUACAACGGAGCAUUAGAGCCACAUUAAGAAAAGAGAAAAUUUUAGACCUCAGAAUUACUUACGAGAAUAAAGUCAUAACAAAAUAAUUACAAGAAUAAAGUCGUAAUAAACUCAGUUCUUAUGGAAAUAAAGUCGUAAUAAAUAAUUAUUUACGAGAAUAAAGUUGUAAUAAAAUCAAUUUUUAUGGAAAUAAAGUCAUAAUAAAAUCAUUAAUUACUAGAAUAAAGUUGUAAUAAAAUAAUAACUUACAAGAAUAAAGUCGUAAUAAAAUCAUUUCUUACGAAAAUAGUUGAAAUAAAACCAUUACUUACGAGAAUAAAGUCAUAAUAAAAUAAUUACGAGAAUAAAGUCGUAAUAAAAUCAUUUCUUACGAAAAUUAAGUUGUAAUGAAUCAUUAUUUACAAGAAUAAAGUUCUAACAACAGGUUGGAAUAGCUACUAGCUACGACUUUAUUCUCGUAAUGAUUUUAUUACGAGAAUAAAGUCGUAGCUAGUAGCUAUUCCAACCUGUUGUUAGUUGUUUAAAUGAGCGCUGUGGAGCGUUUAGAUGAAUUGAACUUCUGUAGCUAGGUUUCACUAACAAGGAGAUACUUAAUCAUUUGUCGUUUCAGCAUCACAUUGUCAUAAGUAUCAGAACACAUGCAAGAAAUGCAUCUUUUCCCAAGAAAGAAUCAGGCAGAACCAUAGCUUUGAAAUAUGACAAAUAAAUAAAUAAAAUCCAAUUUUCAAGUGGCAUGUUGUUUUGUUCUUACAUAACAUUUUAAUCUAAGCUUUAGGGCCUGUGUCCACCAAAUGCAGUGGCAAUGCCUUUUCCUCACAUAGAACCACAGUGCUUCUCAAUCAUAUAUGUGUAUACAUAUAUAUAUAUAUAUAUAUAUAUAUAUACACAUAUGUCAUACCUGCACUGCACAUAUGUACAUACCUUGCACUUUACUUCCUUGCACUUCUUAUUAGAUAAUAAACUGCAUUUCGUUGUUCAUGUACUUGUACUGUGGUUAAUGACAAUAAAGUUGAAUAAUCUAAUCUAAUCUAAUCUAAUCGCAAAACUCUUAGUGCAUGACAAGAUGAAAAAUACAAGAUAAGAGACCCCUAAGUGGUGAGCAUGAACCCUUUACCGGGCAAAAAUGGAACCACAUCUCACUGUCUUAACUAAAAAGAAGCAGGUCUCCUGGAUUUCCAAACAAAUACAGGCUCUGUCUCGAUGGGAACAUUUGCACCAUCCAUGCCAUUGAGACUUUUUGAUCCCUAGAACAAUAUUGAAUACUGGAUUAUGAACUGUGUAUCUCUCCACUCUUUCAAAGAGUUUUCCACUUUAUCCAAGUACAUUUAAAAUGGACUCAGGUCCUAGAGGAGCCACCAGUACCAAAUAGUACUUUUGGAUUGUCUUCAGUGACACCCUUCAGGUUAACACACAGUUUUUAAGUAUUUCUUUGUGAUGAAUAGAGUUAUAUGUUUAAAUGAUAAUGAUGACUGUGUGAGAACAGAGUGCUUGCAUUAACAAGUUCUCCUUUACUCUUAAAAAUCUUGGAUAAUAAAUUGCCUGAAUUUAUGGAGCCGGACAGUGGCUUUAAAUUACAGACAAUCUGGAGGGAAUAUUUUCACCCAAAAAGGAAAAUGCUUGCACGCUGUUAAAUUUGUGCUUAUGACUGUAAAGUGCACCACAGAGCCUAUAAUGUAGUUUGCAGCUGGUCAGGCAGCUUCUAUAAAUGACUCUGGACAAGUGCGCAGCACUGUAUGGAUGUUAUAAUUAAAGUGUGUGUAAUUAUGAUGUUUAUGAUAAUCCCAGUUUUCAUGGCAGCAGUUUAUCUCAAAAUAGGGGGACUGGGAUUGAACAUUUAUAACAGCAAUAAGAGCAAAUCUGUCAAAAGAAGUGACUUUUACCCAGCUGUGUAUAACCUUGUGUUUGCACCGUGUGGUACAGAAAGCAAAGCUCUGAGUACAGCAGGAGCAGUCAUGGUUUUGUCAAACAAAUCGUUUUUCACUCGCCACAAAUAGAUUCGGUACAAAAGUGAGGAACAAGAAAGAAAAUUAAGUCGGAGAGGAGACAAAGACAAGGUCAGAAAAUAAGGCGAAGCAGCUCAGAAAAACUUCAGGGGAGCUUUACAAGAGGGGUAAGGAUGAAUUGGGCCAAUCAGACGCAAGGGGCGGGGUUAAGUGAUGAUCAUGUCGUUGUGGUUUUAUCUAUGCAUGCUUUACUUUUAACCUGCAUUCUUAAGGUCCUUUUUUCGUGCGAUUAUUUUGGAUGUCAAUAUUUUUUUUCGAACCCGUAUCCUGUCAAUACACAAUAAACGGUCUCAUCAGCGAUGUUUCCCGUCCUUCGAUAUUGCGGCUUUUUCUUUUUUCGUAUCAAUUUUCUAAAGUUGUGCAUACUAUGAGUCCACUUCUGACCAAUCAGAUUUCGUGUUGUUGCGACAUCAGAUUCACGGUAUAUCCAACAAAUAUUACAAAGAUAACGACCUGAAGGACAACUUGUGGAGAGUCAUAGCGUCGGAUUUCUCAUAUGACGAUGGUUUGUGUGCUUUAACAGUUUGCUAAACGUCUUUGUUUUAACUUUCAUCUGUGCUAAGUAACUUUAGCUCGUAAGCUAACCUGUUCAGAUACAACAUACCAUAUGUAUUUUUCACUGUCUCAAACUCAAUCACGUUGCUGUCACAGCACCAUUAGGUCUCGGUUGUUACCUUACAUUUAUGUAUUAUAGUUUAAUGUGCUUCAAAAUUCGCCUCCGAAUAUUUCGUAAUUUCGUGUCGUUCCCGGUGUGUUAGGACCUUUAGUUUAAGCAACAUACUGAGUUCACUGACAACAAACCUCAUAAUUAUUUGUGAUCUCAUUUGAUGAUUCGCACUACAGAGUCAGUGCAAUUCUUUCCCAAGGAACACUAUUUCCCUCUCUAGGAUGCCAUUUUUAUGCGGAGUCAUGCCUCUAACCUAGAGAUAGACUUUUCCUCCGUUGCGGCUGCUGUUCAUCAACAACACCAAGCUUGCACUGAGUUGCAGCUGAGCACAUGAAACAACUUGAGGGAAUAGAAAAACUUCCCAGAGUGCAGUGCAAGUUUAAUUAAGUAAUGUGUUUUAGCACAUCACUUAAUAACACUCUCAGAUCUGGAAUCUUAUUAUCUGCCUUACCGUCCUCCAUUGUUAUAAUGCAGCGUUAUUGUUUGUGUCAAUUAUAAGCAAUUAAUAAAGUUGAGUCGUUUUCAGGCAUGUCCAAGCGGCAUCACUGUAAGUUAUAUCCUUCUCUAACGAAAUUAUUGGCUACCCAUAAGAGUACACAGAGGAAGAAUUAAGCACUGGGUUGUAAUUAAAACCAUAGUGUGUGUGUGUGUGCAGCCUGGAUCUAAUAUAGAAAGUGAUGGGUAAAUGGGUUUUAUAAUGAUAGUGUGACUUCUAAUUCCAUGCAGGACAGGUAAUAACUUGCAAGUUAUGGAACAGAACCGUGCAGUAUAGCUGCUAUUAGGGGAGAAGAUUGUGGCGCUAACUCUAUUUCAAUUAUACAUGGUAAUUUAAUAUCAAAGCAUAAUUAUAAUGAUUUUACACUUCACCUCCGAUCCUCCUUGUACCCUCUUUCUCUUUUCUCUUCUGCAGUCUUUUUUUUUUUUCUCUCCCUGCACUUAGUAGAGGUCUCGACACAGCUGGGGAACACUGGCUUGUUUCCAGGAUUGGCGAAGUGCUCUGAAGUUUUUUUUUUCUUUUUUUCUUUUGACUGGCUGAACACAGUUCUGUGAUGUAUUAACUGUCAAUAUGGGCAGCUCCGGCAGAAAAUCAAUGUCAUUAGAGUUUAAAAAACUUUUUAAAGUGAAUUCAUCAAGAGUCGUGGUAUCCAGAUGAACAUAAUGGCUGUAAUCUGUCAACCAAGCUGGAGCUCCUGAGAAGUGCGAAUGCUUGCGCAUUAACCAGGAUACCCUAGAUGUCAGUCAGGGUGUUUACAUGCACAGCUUAAUCGGACAAAGCUAAAAAUUUGUUGUUUUUUUUCGCCGAAUCUGACUUCUCUCCUUGUCCGUGUGUACAUGCUGCUGAGAAAAUCGAAUUAUUGACGUGAACGUGUCCUUCUCCUGAAAACUAGGGAGCGAUGUGGGUCUUUUCAGUGGUGCUGUUUCUGGUUGACCCCAUAUACCUUUCAACAACAACAGCAGGUCUGUGCCAGACGUCAAAGUGUCUACAACUGCUGCUGGGCAUUUUUGAGCAAGAAGAUGAAGCAUCAUACAGCGUUGUUUUUGUCGUAACAUAACGUAUGCGCUACUUUUUCUGCAGAUGAGGUGCACACUACUCCUCUUCUCUGGUGUUUUUGUUCUGGGGUUAUAGGGGCGUGGUGCACGUGCAUGCGCAUUGUCCAAUCAUACUCCGACUAUGCUGGUUACAUGGUAGAGAAAAUCGAAUUCCAAUCGCGUAAUCUGGGUGUCUUAAUCGGAGUUCACCGACCCCAUUUGAAGUUCUCAAACUCUGAUCAAAGUCGAACUAAGGUGUUUACAUGCACUUCAGUUGUCCGGUCUUAAUCGGAGAAAGGCAAUGAUUUGGUUUUCUCGAGUGUGAUGUAAACUUACCGACUAAAGGUCCUUACACACCAGCGAAUUUGCGGAACAAAGCGAAAAAGCGAGACGAAGAUGCGAAAAUAUUCGCCGGUCCGAAAAAUCGCUUUGCCUAUACACACCGGGCGCGAAGCGAAUAUGCGUAUAAAUUACCAGCCUCUUUCCCAUAGAUGCUCUUGGUGCCAGUGGUGGUGUGUGUCGUGUGAACUGCAGCCGCAUGGGUCUGUGACGUCAUCAACAACAUGACUUCUGAUUGGCCAGAGGUCUAGCAGGUCCAGAUAUUCGCCUGCAAAUCCCCGAAAAAUUCGACACAAGAGCGAAAAAAUAAGACACUUUUCGCCCCACGGAAAAAUCGCCGCCGGUGUGGAAGCUUGCAUUGACCCUAUGCUGUUUUAAAAAAAGGCAAAUAAAGGCGAAUAAUUCGCCUGGCAAAUUCGCGCCUGGUGUGUAAGGACUUUUAGUGCUAUAAAUUCUCUUCCGACAACAGCACACUGACUUUACACUAAUUGGAAAUUUCUUACAGACUUGAAUUAUUCUCACUGAAGACCAGCAUCAUCUUUUAAAUAAAAUUAAACCAUUUAUUUACCAGAAUAAGGAAUUUAAGGCUGCCUCCCACUGUGAAGUCAUGGUUUCUAGUCGUGCCAAAAAAGCUUCUCAAAUUAACGCCACUUUCCCUGAGACUUUAAUGGGUAUUUUGUGGACACUAAAUGAAACCAAACCUGCUCCUACCACUUCUCUGAAAGCUUAAAUGGUAAAUUUGGGAAGUGUAAUGAAUCGUUUCACACCGCUUUUCUGGUGCAUUUUAUAGUUUAUUGUGGAUACCAAAUGAACACCCACCUUUGACGAAUUCACAGAAUUAAUCAGGAGGUUUUUAGGUAUUUUGUGGCUACUUCAUAAACCUAAAUCCUUUAAAAAAACACCACACGUCUUUUCAGACUUUAAAUGAAAUCUGGAGCCUUUCAUAGGUAAUUUGUGGACUUGAUGAAACUGAACCCUUUGCAAUCUACUUAUACUUUUCUGUAGGCUUUCAUAGUUUAUUUCCAAAUAUCUAACAGAAUCGAACCGGUUUCAAAUUCACGCCACUUUGCUGGAGAAAAUUAUAGGUAAUUUGUGGAGGCUAAAUGAAAAUAAAGGCUUUUAUAGGCCAUACAGACUCGGUCUAUUGCAUCUGCUUUGUCUGGGCAUUUAAGUGGAAAAUGUUGGCUGAGCUACACUGGUCUAAGGAGGGACCUUGAGAGAGGCUGGAUAAUGAGUUAUAUCAGCAGGAAUUGAAAGAAAUCAUCUUGAAGUUUUCAUAUAAAAUUUAAUUUUAUUUAAAAUCAUAGACAUUUUUAUCAAUGUGUGGCUGUGCUGCAUUGUGUUUCACUUCACUCCAGCAUCAGCAAUCCUAAUCUUUGCACUGUAGAUACAGACGGGUUUUGCCAAGAUGCAUCAAUCAACAAAGGGCAGAUCAAGAGUUAGAAGAAGUCAGACACUGACAGACUGUUUGAAUUUUUUUUUUUUUCUCUGUAAAAAACAAACAAUAAACGCACUGUGUAGAGGCCAGAUCAUGUUUCGCUUAACUACACCGACAAACCAUCCUAAUGAGCAGGGCCAGGCGUGGAGUCAACGGGUCAGAGGUUUCCAGAGCUCAUCAUGGAGAUAGAAAACCACCGAUUCUGAAUGUAAAGCAGGAAAUCCUUGGUCUUGUGACCCCAGCUGUCUGAUGGUGCUCUGCCGCGCUGCACUCUGAAAACGAAGUGGGUGUUGAUGAAUUAAGAGGUAUGAAGCUGCACAGGAUCAAGGCUGAACACGGACCGGGUAGAAGUCCACCAUAACAGGGCCACAGGGAGUGCAAUCCUGGCCAGAACAGUUCUUUCACCAUUUAUGUUCGACUGUAAUCACAGACAAGGAUUGUAUCUUAUGAGAUUGAAAAAGCCUCAUUAGUGUGGAAUACAAUAACUCUAAUUUAUAUGAUGGUUUCGUGAUCUGCUUAAACACAAAUCUGCUAAAACAACUAAAAACACCAAAGCGAAUCCUCAUUGGCUCAUUCAUCAAUGAUUUCUCAAAACCUUGUUUAUUGACCUCUGCUUGCUAUCUCUGUGUCACGCAGAGCUAAAACAACGUGAUUUUUGACCGUCCCUUUUGACUAGACACCACUUUCAAUACAAUUACACAUCUAACCAACCAUGCAAGCAAACGAACUGCACAACAUUUGAACUGCUGGGUUCAACCUGGUCCAAUGAGCACUGAUUACAGGGAGGCCGGUACCAUUGGUCCCUCAUUAGUAACCACGAUAGUAACUCAAAGGAAGCACUCGCAAAAACUACACCAAUGAAGACAUCCAGCUCCAAUGACUGCCGUCUGAAUGACUCUUCAGAUUAGUUGGUGGGCUGUCACCCACACCUGACAGCGAUACAAACUGACAGCCAAGCUGGGGAAGCAACAAUGAAAGUGUGUCACAUCAAUUUUGGUUUUCCCACCUGUUGCGUGUCUUAAUUGAGGAAUCUCCCUGACUGACAAUCAAAGCGGCUUUCAUUUCUACCAUUGCCUCGUCGGCGCUUCGAAUGAGCGGCAGCAGUCUCGAGAGUAAUCAAAUUUGUAUUUGUACCAUUGCAAACGUAAAUUUUAAGAGGAAACUGGGAGACUUCAGUCAGAGUUUCAAAUGAAGGGGAUCAAUUUGAGCUGCCAAUGAAAACCGCUUCCACUUGUGCACCCAAGACCUCCCCACGCUGCUGUUGCAAAUGUAGUUAUUAACUUCCACGAACACUCAGGCGCCAGAUUGUACCCACUUGACCUAUAAGACCGACACUUGAUGCCGCUGGUUAUAAUGAGUUACAAUAAUUACCUUAAACUGCAGAGUUUCCUCCCUGUGAAUUGACUGCACAUCAAAAAAGAAUUAGCGGUUAAGUUGCUCAUUUUUAUGUUUCUGUAGACGGGGAUGCAAUUUGAUUCGCAUCAAGGUUUGACUCCCAACACUGUGGCUUUGGCCUGUGAGCAAGUCUCUGAAAGGUGCAGUUAAAAACGCAUCAGAGGCCAGAACCAACAUAACUGUGCUGUUGUGCUCCUGUCUCUCACCAAUUGAUUGUCCAUUUAUGUAAAGAUGUCUUGAAUUGAUGUGGGUUAAAGUCAUGUGAAAACUACUCAACAAAACAGAGGUGUGAUACCUUAUAUCACACUACGUUAUGAUACAAUAGGGAAGGAUAAUAUAUGACAUGAUACAAUAUGAUAUAUGAUACUGUCUUGGACUUAAAUACCAAGAUACAUGACUUGGUUUUCAUUGGUUAUUCACCUUCCAAGGCCAUCGAACUACCUCACAAACAUGGCCUAUGAACGGCCAGAAAGUAGUGCACCUUAAGAUAGCAACAUGGCACCUUUGCACCCAACCACAUCACGGGUAUGAAGUGAGUAAUUUUUUUCUUCACAGUUGUGGGCAUUAGCGUAAGAUUUAAGACUAUGCUCCAGUUACACUCUUAGCCCAGAAUCUUUAAAGCUUUUAAGUAGUUUUAAGUUUGUGUCAAUUGUGGCGCCUCCUGUGGACAAAACAAUCCACAGUCUACAAUCUACCUAAAACUAUCUCAUCUUGCUAACUCUUGAUGGCUAAAACAAUCAUUUGAUAAAUAUAUAUUUCACACCAGAAUUGUAAAAAUGGAACUGGUUCUUAAGCUGCAUAUCUAACACCUACACCCUCAAGGUCCUUACAUACCGGGAGUGUUUUUUUCAUGCGAUUAUUUCGGACGUCAAUUAUUUUUUUCAAACCUUUAUCCUGUCAACACAAGCGUCCACAACAGCGACGUUUUACCGUCCUGCGAUACUGCGGCAUUUAUUUUUUCGCAUUACGGUCUAAUUUUCUUGAGUUUUGCAUACCGUGUGUCCGCUUCUGACUAAUCAGAUUGCGUGUUGUUGCGAUGUCUGAUUCACUGGUAUAUCCAACAUGGCCGACCGGCUGAUUGUUUAUGUGUCGGAGAGUUUUUUUUGAUAAAAGACACAAAUAUUACAAGGAUAACGACCUGAAGGACAACUUGUGGAGAGUCAUAGUGUCGGAUUUCUCAUAUGACGAUGGUUUGUGUGCUUUAACAGUUUGCUAACGUCUUUGUUUUAACUUUCAUCUGUGCUAAGUAACUUUAGCGCGUAAGCUAACCUGUUCAGAUACAACAUACCAUAUGUAUUUUCACUGUCUCAAACUCAAUCACAGCGUUGCUGUCACAGCACCAUUAGGUCUCUGUUGUUACCUUACGUUUAUGGAUUAUAGUUUAAUGUGUUUAUCUGGUACUGGCCCCGACUCAGUACAUGCUAUCAUGACAGACAGUCAUCUCAACACUAGUGUCUAAUCAGAACUGAAAAACAGUCAGUCUGCUGUUGUGUCAGUCUUCUCGCUUCCAUCCGGGAUGCGUCUUGUUUCCCCCUGGAAAGUCGCAAAAUCGCAUUGCGCUUCAUGUGUAUAGUCAG